UUACAGAUUGGACCUAUGAAUCUAGAUUAUGAUAGUACAAUUUUUGCAGGAAUGGACUUUAAACACACAUUAUUUGUAAGAGUAUCUGAUGAAGGUAUUCCUGUACUCUCAACCAUCAUUAGAAUCAUAUUAAGAGUGAGCCGUAUAAAUGAACACAAUCCUGCUGGGUCUAUGAUGGAAUUUACCUUCAGUAUAUUUGAAAACAGUCCAACUGAUACACUAGUUGGAAAAAUUACGUUUAUUGAUGAAGACUGGCCAUUCAACAAUAUACACUAUAGCAUUGUUGGAGGUAACUUUGGGAUACCUCCCACAUUUUACAUCGAAUCAGAUACAGGGAUGAUAAAGCUGUUGAGUUCACUGGACAGGGAAGUGACUUCUCAGUAUAAGAUAACUGUGAGAGUCAUAGACAUGGGAAAUGACGUGCUCCCAGACCCUCUCAGGCAGAGAAGUGCUACUGCUCAGGUGACCAUCAACGUCCUGGUAAGAGUU
ensembl:lincRNA Gm28710 predicted gene 28710